rnacentral:tRNA from 1 species
CCGCUGAUAGCUCAGCUGGUAGAGCUUCCGAUUGUAGUGGGUCUGCGAUGCUCGGAUGGUCGCGCGUUCGAUUCGCGCUCGGCGGA